rnacentral:rRNA from 1 species
GAUGAACGCUGGCGGCGUGCUUAACACAUGCAAGUCGAACGGAAAGGCCCAAGCUUGCUUGGGUACUCGAGUGGCGAACGGGUGAGUAACACGUGGGUGAUCUGCCCUGCACUUCGGGAUAAGCCUGGGAAACUGGGUCUAAUACCGGAUAGGACGAUGGUUUGGAUGCCAUUGUGGAAAGUUUUUUCGGUGUGGGAUGAGCUCGCGGCCUAUCAGCUUGUUGGUGGGGUAGUGGCCUACCAAGGCGUCGACGGGUAGCCGGCCUGAGAGGGUGUACGGCCACAUUGGGACUGAGAUACGGCCCAGACUCCUACGGGAGGCAGCAGUGGGGAAUAUUGCACAAUGGGCGCAAGCCUGAUGCAGCGACGCCGCGUGGGGGAUGACGGCCUUCGGGUUGUAAACUCCUUUCGCUAGGGACGAAGCGUUUUUGUGACGGUACCUGGAGAAGAAGCACCGGCUAACUACGUG